UUUUCCUUCCGCGAGCCGACCCUUGCCCAAAAAUCUUGCGGCGACUUCUCCCGAGCCCUAACCGGCGCCGAGCUCCUUCUCCCUCUCACUCUCAUGGCGAGGAGCGCCUCUCCCCUCUACUGAUCUCCUCUCCCCCUCGUCCAUGCUGAGCCGCGCGCCGAUCACCGGCCACAAGAAUCCAGUGCCGUCGCCGUGCCCUAGCGCCUGCCGACGCCCUCUUCCUCUCCUCUGGCCGACGCGACACUACUGCCCUUCUUCUCUACCUAGUGCCGGCCGCCGCCGCCCUUUCUCCAUUUGCCUCGGUCACCACAGCCGACAUCAGAACCCUAACGCCGAGCCUUCUUCGCUGCCCUAGCACCGACGCCCUGCCAAACAGCCAUUGUGCCCGAAGAUCUGCAACACCGACUGUCGCCUUGUUCCUUGCUUGAGCAGCCAGUGAUCGCCGAGAUUCUCCUCACUAGUGUCAUGCCGUAGAGCUGAUGCCACCACCGUCGUCAUCCCAGCAGCCGCAAGUCCUUCUGCCGGCGUCGCGUAGCCUUCUUCCCCUCCUCAGCCGCAGAUUCGACCUGACUUUGACCUUGCCAUUGAGUGUCCUAUUCUUCUCCAACCACAGACCAGUGCCAUAUUGAUUUAUUGUGCCAAGCCGUGCCUAGCCGGACCUUGGAGGGAGUUUGGAUUGAAAAUUCACUGGCAUGUGAAAUGUGAAGGUUUUAGAUUUGAAUUGGAGAUUUUCUGAUUCAAGGUUGGAAUUUCAGAUGAGAUUUGAGGUGCGGAUCGUCGAUGAUUUACAUUGAGGGCGGCAGCUUCGUGGUUGCUCCGACUAGGAUUUUCUGACCACCAUUUCUUUGACUGCGAGGUGAUUAAAGGAUACUCACUAUUGGGACCCUGAUUACGGGACGAUUGUUCUGAUGUGAGGAUUGUUUAUCACAGACUACAGUUAAAGGCGGGUACCUCUUGACUUAUCUUUUAUGAUAUUGUCAUUGGAUAUGUAUAGUAUUUUAUAACUACAUGCAAUGAACAUGUUUGCCUUUGGUAU